rnacentral:ncRNA from 1 species
CACCGUGCCACUUGGCAAAACAUUCAAAAAUUCAAUAGGCUGUUUUGGUAAACUGCCCAAACAGGCAGGUUGAAGAAUCGGCUUUAGUGCAUACAA